UGAGAAAUUACUAAUGGCCAACAGAAAGAAUGUCAUGGCCAUGUUAUUUCUCACCACCAUUGUGGCGGUGGCGGCCACAAGGCCAGCCGAGACCUAUGGCGUUGCGGAGGAGAACACAUUGAAGAUGGCUACCCCCAGCAGGAAAGGGGUUGACGCUACCUUAGCAACUACACGUGUUGUUGCCGCCGAGAAGUCCAUCAAGAAGGCUGAAAGCGUCACCACACCAGAAGAGGCCGCGGCUGCCAAGCAAGAUGGAGCAAAAUCUGCUUCUGCUGCAUUAAAGUACAAUGCCAUCUCUCAGCAGGCAAAUGGUAAAGGUUCUUCUACCUCCCUAGGCAGGAAAGAAGCAGCCAAUACUUUAGCCGCCGCACACUAUGCCGCCACCGAGAAGUCCAUCAAGAAGGCCGAAACCACCAAGACACCUGCAAAGGUCGUGGCUGCCAAGCGAGACGCAGCAAAGUCUGUUGAUGAUGCAUUAAAGUAUGGUGCCAUCUCUCGGAAAGCAGCUGGUACAAGUUCUUCUACCUCCCCCAAUAAGAAAGAAGGCACCACUGAUGCUGCUAAGAUGUUCACCAAGAAGGCUGAAACCGCUACCACACCUGAAGAGGCCGCGGCUGCCAAGCAAGCUGCAGCCAAGUCUACCGCUGCUGCAUCAAAGUAUGGUGUCAUUUCUCAGCAAGUAGCUGGUACAAGUUCUUCUACCUCCCCUAGCAGGAAAGAAGCUGCCGGUACCUUGGCAGAUGCUCGCAUAGCUGCUGCCGAGAAGUCCAUCAAGAAGGCUGAAACCGCCACAAGACCUGAAGAGGCAGCAUCCGCUAAGAAGGAUGCCACAAAAUCCGAGGCUGAUGCAAUGAAGUACGGGGCCAUCUCUCAGCAGGCCGCCGGCAAAAAUGGUGCCUAAGUGGUGCCUUAAACACCUAUUCACACGCAACAUCAUCUACAUACUACCAUGCAUGCAAAAUAGCAGCAUUCAGAUACCACAUUAUGCUAAUUCUCAUGCAUGCACACUUUGUUUAAACGUUCCCAUUACGAAUCAUGUAUUAAUGUCUUGCUUGUUUUAUUUUUAGUAGUAAGACAUGCUUGACUUGCUUUAAAAAAAAUACAACAAUCGAUGUAUACAUGUAUUAUCUAAAAAUCAGUAAUAUGAGUUCCACCGCAAUUUGUUUCUUUUUGUCAUAAUUUGGGUGCAAUCAAUGCACACAUCCAAUACACAAAAUUGGACGACUCAAUGUGUUGUGGCUCCAUGGAGCGGCGAAUCAUGUUUUAUUGUCUUGCUUGUUUUACUUUUAGUAGUAAUGUCUUGCUGGUCAAUGUAUUAUGGCUCCAUGGAGCGGCAUAAUGAUAUAUGAUAUAUCUUCACUACUUCAAAAAGAACUUAAGGUUUCGUCAUACAUCUUUCCUUCAUCCAUCCUCCCUACGAAUCCUUCCUGUUUUGAUUUUUUUCUCCCAUCUUUGAUUUUUCUCCCCAUUGAUUCUACCUAAAAACCACCUCAAUGUCACAUGUUUACUGUAUAUGUCAAGGCCUCCUUUGGUUCAUAGGGUAGAAAAAAACAUAGGAAUAGGAAAGUCAUAGGAAAUGAGAUGACAUGUAUCUCAAAUCCUAUGAUUGGGAAUAGGAAAGGAGAUGCCCUUUGAUUCACAUCAUAGGAUUUUUUCAUUGAAUCUAGGCUAAUGUUUAUUUUCCUAUGAAAUGUGAAGGAGAGGAAGAAUUCCUCCAUAGGAUUAGGAUUCCAUUCCUACAAACCAAAGGACUCUAAAGGAAUUUUUUCUAUAGAAAUCCUAUCCUAUGAAAUUCUUACAAGAUUCCUCCAAAUCAAAGGAGGCCCAAGUGGUUGUGAUGAGACAGUGGCUGGGCACUUCAGAUUUAUUCCCGUAACUGACUGUCAAAUUGAGUCAUCUGUCGUCCUUUCGAUGAUUGUAAGAAAGUUAUAUGUUUACUGUAUGUGCCAAUUGGUUGUGAUUAUCGUUACCGGCCACAAAGUUAUAUUUUCUUGUCUUAACGAAGGGUUGCAUACAAUGCGUGUAGCUCUUGACGCCUGAUAACCCACAAGUAUAGGGGAUCGCAACAGUUUUUGAGGGUAGAGUAUUCAACACAAAUUUAUAGAUUCGACACAAGGGGAGCCAAAGAAUAUUUGUAAGUAUUAACAGCUGAGUUAUCAAUUCAACCACACCUGGAGAUUAAUUAUCUGCAGCAAAGUGAUCAGUAGCAUAGUAGUAUGAUAGUUUUGAUAGUAGUAGCAACAUCAACAGUAACGGUAAUAGUGGUAGCAAUGGUUUUGUAGCAGUGACAAUAGUAACAGCAGCAGUAGUAACUUAGCAAGAACAAUAUGUACGAAAAUCGUACGCAUUGGAUCGGUGAUUUGUUGGAUGAUAUUCAUCAUGUGACAGUUACAACCUAGGACGAUACGGCACUAGCUCCAGUUCAUAAAUAUAAUGUAGGCAUGUAUUCUAUAAAUAAUCAUACGUGCUUAUGGAAAGAACUUGUAUGACAUCUUUUGUCCUACCCUCCUGUGGCAGCGGUGUCCUAUUGGAAACUAAGGGAUAUUAAGGCCUCCUUUUAAUAGAGAACCAGAACAAAGCAUUAACACACGGUGAAUACAUGAACUCCUCAAACUACGGUCAUCACAGGGAAGUGUCCCGACUAUUGUCACUCCGGGGUUGCCGGAUCAUAACACGUAGUAGGUAACUAUAACUUGCAAGAUUGGAUCUAGAACAUAGAUAUAAUGGUGAUAACAUAAGUCAUAGCAACAUCAAUCUCAGAACAUAAUGGAUACUCGGGAUGAAGCCCUAACAAAACUAACUCAAUUACAUGAUGAAUCUCAUCCAACUCCUCACCGACCAGCGAGCCUACGAAGGAAUUACUCACUCCUGGUGGGGAGCAUCAUGGAAUUGGCGAUGGAGAAGGGUUGGUGAUGACGAAGAUCGAAGACCCCCCUCUCUGGAGCCCCAAACGGACUCCAAAUCUAGCCUCCCGAUGAAGAACAGGAGAUGACGGCGGCUCUGUCUCGUGGAUCGUGAUAAUUCUUUCUUCCUGAUUUUUUCUGGAAAAAUAGGAUUUUAUAGCGUCGGAUUCAGGGCCUGCGGGGCCACCAGGUGGGGACAACCCACCUGGGUGUGCUUGGAGGGGGGGGGCCUGGUGGGUUGUGCCCAUCCAGGUGCCCCCCUCCGGUUGUUCUUGGCUCCAGAAAUUCUCUGUAUUUGUAUAAAAAUUCCUCGCAAAGUUUUGUUCCAAUCCGAAAACUUUUAUUUCUGCACAAAAAAAACACCAUGGUAGUUUUGUUGGAAACAGCGUCAGUCCGGGUUAGUUUCAUUCAAAUCAUGCAAAUUAGAGUGCAAAACAAGAGGAAAGUGUUAGGAAAAGUAGAUACGACGGAGAUGUAUCAACUCCUCCAAGCUUAAACCUUUGCUUGUCCUCAAGCAAUUCAGUUGAUAAACUGAAAGUGAAAAAAAAAUUACGAACUCUUUUGCUCUUGUUUUCAUAAAUAAGCUUAAACAUCACCCAGUGUCGAUGUCAAAACCGGCGGAUCUCGGAUAGGGGGUCCCGAACUGUGCGUCUAGGCGGAUGGUAACAGGAGACAAGGGACACGAUGUUUACCCAGGUUCGGGCCCUCUCGAUGGAGGUAAAACCCUACUCCUGCUUGAUUAAUAUUGAUGAUAUGGGCAGUACAAGAGUAGAUCUACCACGAGAUCAAGGAGGCUAAACCCUAGAAGGUAGCCUAUGGUAUGAUUGUUGUUGUCCUACAGACUAAAACUCUCUGGUUUAUAUAGACACCGGAGAGGGUUAGGGUUACACAGAGUCGGUUACAAUGGUAGGAGAUCUACAUAUCUGUAUCGCCAAGCUUGCCUUCCACGCCAAGGAAAGUCCCUUCCAGACACGGGAAGAAGUCUUCAAUCUUGUAUGUUCAUAGUCCGGGAGUCCGGCUGAAGGUAUCGUCCGGCUAUCCGGACACCCCCUAAUUCAGGACUCCCUUAGAGCCCCCGAACCAGGCUUCAAUGACGACGAGUCUGGCACGCAAAUUGUCUUCGGCAUUGCAAGGCGGGUUCUCCUUCAAUUUCUGUGUACCUGCUGAAUAAUGUCCGGUUUCUUAUAAAUGUAGCGCUCCUCGGCUUCCACGCCCAAUAAUGGCCGUCUUCCACGUGUCAAAUGAAUACGAAAAGUCUGGGUGUUUUUACAUUCACACCCCCAGCCGCGUAAAUGAGCCGCCUAUUUAAAGGGACGGGGAUUUAGAUCCAAACCACACCUUCUCCUCUCCGCGAGUUUCAUCAGAGCGCAUCCGACAAAGGACCGUUCCAUCAUGGCCAGCCGUCGCAGCUCCUCCUCUCGCCCUUCCAGCCCUCAUCCUGGAGAUUGGGAGAGAUGCUCCGUCCCGCACAGCGAGCUAGUGUCGCUUCGGACCAAAGGGAUUUCUUCCUCCGGCCUAUAUGGUCCCGGUUCGAGCCGGACUUGCCACCUAUAAUGGCGGAGAGCAAGUGGAGAGCGCCCCCAAUCCCUCCAAAGGAGAGCGGGUAUGCCUUGUCCCUUAUUUAAUAAGAGGGCUCGGAUUUCCAAUUCAUCCAUUUCUCCGGGGGCUCCUGGAGUUCUAUGGCCUCCAGCUGCACAACCUCACGCCUGUCUCCGUAUUGCAUAUUGCGGGCUUCGUAGCCCUUUGCGAGUUGUUUUUGGGUGUUGAGGCUCAUUUCGCGCUGUGGAAGAGGCUAUUCUGCCUUGUGCCCUGUUCUUAGGAGGGGUCAAUAUAUCAAGUGGGCGGAGCCAAAGUGUGGUGUAUCGCCGGGACCGGAUAUCUAUCCGGAACCCCAAAGAAGGCGUCUGAGGACUGGCCUUCAGAAUGGUUUUAUAUAGAGGACGUCCCGUUGCCGGAUCCUGUUCGGAUCGGCCUCCCUGAGUUCAACAGCGCUCCCCUAAAGAAAAACCUAAGCUGGCGCCCACGGAGCCCUCAGAGAGAAAGUGACAAGGACAUUCUUUACCUGAUGGGCCGGAUAAGAUUAUUAGCUCAUUCCGGACUAACCAUGAUCGGAGUCAUGGCUGCAUGCAUCAUGCGAGGGGUGCAACCGCUUCAGUACAGAGGCCACCCCAUGUGGGACUUCAACGGGGAGGAUGAUGCCACCCGUCACGGCCGUAAGGGGCCGGACUCGGCUACCGCUCUAGUAAAGAUCUUGUCCGCUUUGUACAAGGGAGAAGAGGAGGAAUUUCUCCGCGUCAACCCACAGGGUGGAUUUACCAUGUACAAUCCCCCAAGUUGGGUAAGUGGGCAAUUUUACUUGCACGUCUGUUUUGUAUUCCCAUCAUUAAAUAUAUAGUCUAACGACUUCAACGCAGGAACUGCGCCUGGAAGUAAAGGACAUAAAUAGCCCGCCUCCACAGCCCGAGGACCCAGAGUUGUCCCUCGAUCCGGCCUCCGAAGAGGAUCCGGACUUAUCCAUGGAGUUAAUUGAUGGGGUGUUUUAUCAAUUGAGCAAGGACAAUGCCUUGGUGGCCAUUAAGGCCGAUUACCCGGGGCUGCUCCCGGCCUCCCAGGUAACUGAGACCGAAGUCCUAGCACCUCAAAAAGGGAUCCGCCCUCGCGUGUUUUUCAGUUUCCUGACAACAACCGUGUUUUGCAGGGGAGGUUCUUGAGACGGGAGGCCGAGCCUGCGGCGACUAGCCAACGAGGGGCUACAGGGCCCCGUGGGAUGAAAAGAAGUGCAGUCCGGAUUGAGGCGCCGGCGCAGAGGUAUAGCACGCCUUCUUAUUCCCAGGUGUUAUUCCUUCAAGGCAUAUUAACACUCGUGCUCUUUUCAGGACAAAAAGACCCCGCCGGACUAUAUCUGGAGAGGCUGCCAAUCGCGCCUCCACCAGCCAGGCUCCAAAGCCUGGUCCGGAGACGGAGGCGAACACGAGGCGCGCACCGGACGCUCCUCCAACAGAGGAUGCGGACAGGCUGUCCGCCACUAAUUCCGAGGUGGAGAGUGCCAUGAACCACAGGCGUCGCCGGACAGUUCUUCGCGACGCUUGUUUCUCCCAAGAGGCAUUGGACGCCUUCAAUUCGGGAGAUGCGUACCUCCGUGCCGCUCAAAAUGGUCUAGCCAGAGCCACGGAGCAAUAUGUAAAAGACAUACAGGUGAGAAAAUUUAAUGGUUAUAUAUAUCAGUAGCCCCCGAGACUUGAAACAGUUAGAAGAACUGAUUUAAGGAUCAUUCAUAAUGCAGGUUCUUGCGGAAAAGAAUACCCAACUGUCCCAGGAGCUAGAAGAGUGCAAAGCCCAACUUGAGGCCGCACUAGCCGCGACAGGGGAGCCCAAGGAGACCCCCUCUGGUAAUAUGUGCUUCAAAAAGAGAAGUAUUUUGUGAAGUGCGGCGUUUGUGCAAAUCUGACAAAUGAAAUUGCAGAUGGCGCCGGAUUAGAUCCGGAAAAGCAACAACUCCUACGCCAGCUAAAGGCUGGUGAGAGCGUGCUGACAAAGGUGAGGUGGGAGAAGAACGAUCUCCAAUAUGCCAACACCAAGCUGGGCGUUGAACUGAAAGAUGUUUGUGCCCAGCUGUCGGACUCCGCUAAGGAGAAUCAGCGGCUUCGACGCGGCAUAUUUAGUAAGUGCUUAAACGAACUUUGAAUAAAGAGUUCGACGAGGAAGUCGACUAACGGAGUAAUGUCUGUAGGUAUGCUAACAGGUCGUCCUGCAGAGGAGAUGCCCGGUUCUAUGGGUGACCUUCUUCCCGAGCUCUUGCAACUGCACGAGCGAGUUCGGCAGGUGAUGCAGGGCGUCGCCCAGGCCUUGUGGCCAUCCAUCUCCAUGCCCGAAGGACUUGGAGAGCUUGCAGAGAAGCUGAAGGGAGCGCGGCGGCGCUUCUGAUUGUGGAAGAUAUCGGCCUGCGUCAAGGCGCUAGGGAGGCAUGGGCCAUGGUGAAGACGCGGUACACGAAGGCUGACCCAAACCACAUGGCCGAGGUCGGACCUGUGGGGCCCGAUGGGAAGGAGAUCCCUGUAAGCUUCGUAUACGGCUAAGUAGAAUUGGCCGCAAAGUAUUCCCAGCAGGACUGUAAGCUAGACAGCCUGUUAGAUGGUAUUGAAGAGGAAUACAAUCAGUCAUAAUGACUAUGUAAUUUUAAUUGACAUGUGUAAUGCCUUCUAGCCAGAUUGUAGAUCAUUUUUCAUGGCCGACCUUUUUGCUUCGACCUCGGGACCUGCGGUCUGGAGUGUGUCCGAAUACCCUUGCGGUUAUAUAAGAACCGGGGUAUGCAUGGAGACUAGGCGUAGGGGUCAUUAGUGCUUGAACAGACAAGUGCCCGACUAGUUAUGUUAUAUUACAUGGUUAGUAAGAAACAUCUUCCAGGGAGAAUAGUUCCGUUAGGGGUUCCUUUCCCUGGGAGGCAUGCCCUAAAGUGCAUGUCCAUUCUGCGAAAAAGAGACGCAGGAAAAAACAUCUGGGGGCGCAUAGAUAAAUAAGUGAAAAAAUCAUCUUUAGUUCACCGACCGAAUAUUUCCUUAAGAACGCUAGCUUUCGGCUUCACCCAGUCUGAGGUACACAUCGGGCUGACCCGGCAGUAACAAUCGCAGAGGUGCUCCCUUUACCACCUAGCCGAACAAUCGGGAACAUAGGGGUAAGCACAGGAGCCAGGCAACCCAGCUUGGCCAAAAAUUAAGUCAUAUCGAUGCAUAUGAUGGUGAAUAAAAGGUACAUGCGGAAGUGUGACACAUGUGUUGGGCAUGAAGCCCGUAUAAGCUUCUGUUCAAAGAAGCCCCCAGGUUUAGUGAGCGUGGAUAGCGCGUCACUUGAUGAGCCUUUAAAGGCUAUAAGAGAAAGGAGGGGGAGAAGGAGAAAAUGGAAGACAGAAAAUAUAAAAAAUGGACAGAGGAAGGAGACGAACAUAGAGUCCGGCGCUAGGCAUAGAAUCUUCGGAGACGGGCUGCGUUCCAUGGGUUCGGUUCGAGUCGGUUAUCCGAUGCAUCUCGCAGGCGGUAUGCUCCACCAGUCAGGACUUGGUCAAUUAUGAAGGGACCUUCCCACUUGGGCUGGAGUUUGUCCUUUUUCUUGUCCGGCAGGCGUAGAACUAGUUCGCCAACAUUGUAAUUUUUGGCCCGUACUUCUCUGCUUUGAUAUCUUCGAGCCUGCUGUUGAUAGAAUGCGGAACGGGCUUUUGCCACGUCACGCUCCUCCUCCAAGGCAUCUAAACUGUCCUGCCGAUCGAGCUCGGCUUCUCUUUCUUCGUACAUGCGCACUCAAGGUGAGUCAUGAAUUAUAUCGCAGGGCAAAACUGCUUCUGCACCGUACACCAUGAAGAAUGGUGUGUAUCCGGUGGUGCGAUUCGACGUGGUCCGCAGCCCCCAGAGUACGGAGUCGAGCUCCUCUACCCAGUGCGUGUUAGAUUCCUUAAGGUACCGCACUAAUCUGGGUUUGAUGCCGCUCAUGAUAAGACCAUUUGCGUGUUCGACCUGUCCGUUAGUUUGUGGGUGAUAGACGGAAGCAUAAUCGAGCUUGAUGCCCAUGUUUUUGCACCAGAGUUUUACCUCAUCGACCGUAAAGUUCGUACCGUUAUCAGUGAUGAUGCUGUGGGGGACGCCGUAACGGUGUACGACCCCCGAUAUAAAGUCUAUCACCGGUCCGGAUUCGGCCGUCUUAAUAGGCUUGGCCUCUAUCCAUUUGGUGAACUUAUCCACCAUGACCAGUAAGUAUUUUUUCUUCUGGGUUCCGCCUUUAAGGGGUCCAACCAUGUCAAGCCCCCAGACCGCGAAGGGCCAAGUGAUGGGGAUAGUUUGGAGGGCGGUGGGUGGCAUAUGGCUUUGGUUUGGCAAAAGCUGGCAACCGACGCAUCGUUGGACUAAGUCCUGAGCGUCUGCCCGGGCCGUUGGCCAAUAAAAGCCUGUACGGAAAGUCUUGCUUACGAGGGACCGAGUUGCGGUGUGAUGACCAUCGAGUCCGGCAUGAAUUUCAGCCAGCAAGUUCCGCCCAUCCUCCUCGGAGAUGCACCUUUGAAGGACUCCGGUAGUGCUUUUCUUAUAAAGCUCUCCCUCAUGGACUUUAUAGGCUUUAGAUCGCCGCACUAUGCAGCGUGCCUCAUUUUGGUCUUCUGGGAGUUCCUGCCUAGUAAGGUAGGCUAGGAAUGGUUCUGUCCACGGGGCGAUGACCGCCAUUAUUACGUGGGCUGAAGAUGUGACUUCAUUGGCAGAAUCUCCAAUUAUGUCAGUGUUGGGUAACGUAGCAGAAAUUCAAAAUUUUCCUACGUGUCACCAAGAUCUAUCUAUGGAGAAACCAGCAACGAGGGGAAGGAGAGUGCAUCUACAUACCCUUGUAGAUCGCUAAGCGGAAGCGUUCAAGAGAACGGGGUUGAAGGAGUCGUACUCGUCGUGAUCCAAAUCACCGAUGAUCCUAGUGCCGAACGGACGGCACCUCCGCGUUCAACACACGUACAGCCCGGUGACGUAUCCCACGCCUUGAUCCAGCAAGGAGAGAGGGAGAGGUUGAGGAAGACUCCAUCCAGCAGCAGCACAACGGCGUGGUGGUGGUGGAGGAGCGUGGCAAUCCUGCAGGGCUUCGCCAAGCACCACGGGAGAGGAGGAAGGAGAGAUGCAGGGCUGCGUCAUAUAGAAGAGAGGAACUCGCGUCUUAUGAGCAGCCCAAACCUCAACUAUAUAUAGGGGAAGGGGAGAGGCUGCGGCCCCUUUAGGGUUUCCACCCCUAGGGGUGGCGGCCAGCCUAGAUCCCAUCUAAGGGAGGCGGCCAAGGGGGAGGGGGAGAGGGAGGCGCACCAGGAUGGGCCUUAGGGCCCAUCUGCCCUAGGGUUUGCCCCCUUCUCCUCUCCCUUGCACCUUGGGCCCUUGUGGGGGGGGGGGCGCACCAGCCCACCUGGGGCUGGUCCCCUUCCACACUUGGCCCAUGAAGCCCUCCGGGGCUGGUUUGCCCCACUUGGUGGACCCCCGGGACCCUCCCGGUGGUCCCGGUACGUCACCGAUAAACCCCGAAACUUUUCCGGUGACCAAAACAGGACUUCCCAUAUAUAAAUGUUUACCUCCGGACCAUUCCAGAACUCCUCGUGACGUCCGAGAUCUCAUCCGGGACUCCGAACAACAUUCGGUAACCACAUACAAACUUCCUUUAUAACCCCAGCGUCAUCGAACCUUAAGUGUGUAGACCCUACGGGUUUGGGAGACAUGCAGACAUGACCGAGACGUUCUCUGGUCAAUAACCAAUAGCGGGAUCUGGAUACCCAUGUUGGCUCCCACAUGUUCCACGAUGAUCUCAUCGGAUGAACCACGAUGUCAAGGACUUAAUCAAUCCCGUAUACAAUUCCCUUUGUCUAUCGGUACGAUACUCGCCCGAGAUUCGAUCGUCGGUAUCCCGAUACCUUGUUCAAUCUCAUUACCGGCAAGUCUCUUUACUCGUUCCGUAACACAUCAUCCCGUGAUCAACUCCUUGAUCACAUUGUGCACAUUAUGAUGAUGUCCUACCGAGUGGGCCCAGGGAUACCUCUCCGUCACACGGAGUGAUAAAUCCCAGUCUCGAUUCGUGCCAACCCAACAGACACUUUCAGAGAUACCCGUAGUGUACCUUUAUAGCCACCCAGUUACCUUGUGACGUUUGGCACACCCAAAGCACUCCUACGGUAACCGGGAGUUGCACAAUCUCAUGGUCUAAGGAAAUGAUACUUGACAUUAGAAAAGCUUUAGCAUACGAACUACACGAUCUAGUGCUAUGCUUAGGAUUGGGUCUUGUCCAUCACAUCAUUUUCCUAAUGAUGUGAUCCCGUUAUCAACGACAUCCAAUGUCCAUGGUCAGGAAACCGUAACCAUCUAUUGAUCAACGAGCUAGUCAACUAGAGGCUUACUAGGGACAUGGUGUUGUCUAUGUAUCCACACAUGUAUCUGAGUUUCCUAUCAAUAUAAUUCUAGCAUGGAUAAUAAACGAUUAUCAUGAACAAGGAAAUAUAAUAAUAAUCAAUUUAUUAUUUCCUCUAGGGCAUAUUUCCAACAGUCUCCCACUUGCACUAGAGUCAAUAAUCCAGUUCACAUCGUUAUGUGACUAACACUCAAGGUCACAUCCCCAUGUGACUAACACCCAAAGAGUUUACUAGAGUCAAUAAUCUAGUUCACAUUUACCAUGUGAUUAACACUCGAUGAGUUCUGGGUUUGAUCAUGUUAUGCUUGUGAGAGAGGUUAUAGUCAACGGGUCUGAACCUUUCAGAUCCGUGUGUGCUUUACAAAUCUCUAUGUCAUCUCCUAGAUGCAGCUACCACGCUCUAUUUGGAGCUAUUCCAAAUAACUGUUCUACUAUACGAAUCCAGUUUACUACUCAGAAUAAUCUGGAUUAGUGUCAAAGUUUGCAUCGGCGUAACCCUUUACGACGAACUCUUUUACCACCUCCAUAAUCGAGAAAAUUCCUUAGUCCACUAGUUACUAAGGAUAACUUUGAUCGCUGUCCUGUGAUCCAUUCUUGGAUCACUCUUGUACCCCUUGACUGACUCAUGGCAAGGCACACUUCAGGUGCGGUACAUAGCAUAGCAUACUGUAGAGCCUAUGUCUUAAGCAUAGGGGACGACCUUCGUUCUUUCUCUCUAUUCUGCCGUGGUCAAGCUUUAAGUCUUAACUUCAUACCUUACAACUCAGGCAAGAACUCCUUCUUUGACUGAUCCAUCUUGAACACCUUCAAGAUCAUGUCAAGGAAUGUGCUCAUUUGAAAGUACCAUUAAGUGUUUUGAUCUAUCCUUAUAGAUCUUGAUGCUCAAUGUUCAAAUAGCUUAAUCCAGGCUUUCCAUUGAAAAAACACUUUCCAAAUAACCCUAUAUGCUUUCCAGAAAUUCUACGUCAUUUCUGAUCAACAAUAUGUCAACAACAUAUAUUCAUCAGAAAUUCUAUAGUGCUCCCACUCACUUCUUUGGAAAUACAAGUUUCUCAUAAACUUCGUAUUCACCCAAAAUCUUUGAUCAUCUCAUCAAAGCAUACAUUCCAACUCGAGAUGCUUACUCCAGUACUUAGAAGGAUUGCUGGAGCUUUGCAUACUUAUUAGCAUAUUUCAGGAUUGACAAAACCUUCCGGUUGUAUCACAUACAACCUUUCCUCAAAAAUCAUCGAGGAAACAAUGUUUUGACAUCCUAUCUGCAAGAUUUCAUAAAUGAUGCAGUAAUUGCUAAUAUAAUUCCAACAGACUCUUAGCAUCGCUACGAGUGAGAAAGUCUCAUCGUAGUCAACUCCUUGAACUUGUCGGAAAACAUCUUAAUGACAAGUCGAGCUUUCUUAAUGGUGAUACUUACCAUCAUUGUCCGUCUUCCUUUUAAAAUCCAUAUGUACCUAACAGCCUUACGACCAUCAAGUUGUUCUUCCAAAGUCUACACUUUGUUUUCACAUAUGGAUCCUCUCUCGGAUUAUAUGGCCUUGAGCCAUUUUGGAAUCCAGGCCCACCAUUGCUCCUCCAUAGCUCGUAGGUUCAUUGUUGUCUAGCAACAUGACUUCCAAGACAGGAUUACGUACCAUUCUAAAGCAGUACACAUCCUUGUCAUCCCACGAGGUUUGGUAGUGACUUGAUCUGAAGUUUCAUGAUCACUAUCAUAAGCUUCCACUUCAAUUGGUGUAGGUGCCACAGGAACAACUCCCUGUGCCCUGCCACACACUAGUUGAAGAGAUGGUUCAAUAACCUCAUCAAGUCUCCACCAUCCUCCCACUCAAUUCUUUCGAGAGAAACUUUUCCUCGAGAAAGGACCCGAUUCUAGUAACAAUCCCUUAUUGCUUUCGAAUCUGAGACAGGAGGUAUACCCAACUGUUUUGGGUGUCCUAUGAAGAUGUAUUUAUCCGCUUUGGGUUCGAGCUUAUCGACCUGAAACUUUUUCACAUAAGCGUCGCAGCCCCAAACUUUUAAGAAAUGACAGCUUAGGUUUCUCUAAACCAUAGUUCAUACGGUGUCAUCUCAUCGGAAUUACGUGGUGCCCUAUUUAAAGUGAAUGUGGUUGUCUCUAAUGCCUAACCCAUAAACUAUUGUGGUAAUUCGAUAAGAGACAUCAUGGUAUGCAUCAUAUCCAAUAGGGUGCAGUUAUGAUGUUCGGACACACCAUCACACUAUGGUGUUCCAGGCUGUAUCAGUUGUGAAACAAUUUCCACAAUGUCUUAAUUCUGUGCCAAACUCGUAAUUCAGAUAUUCAUCUCUAUGAUCAUAUCAUAGAUAUUUUAUCCUCUUGUCACGAUGAUCUUUCAACUUCACCCUGAAAUUACUUGAACCUUUCAAUAAUUCAAACUCAUGAUUCAUCAAGUAAAUAUACUCAACAUCUACUCAAAUCAUCUGUGAAGUAAGAACAUAACGAUAUCCACUACAUUCCUCAGCACUCAUUGGACUGCACACAUCAAAAUGUAUUACUUCCAACAAGUUGCUUUCUAGUUCCAUUUUACUGAAACCGAGGCUUUCAGUCAUCUUGCCCAUGUGGUAUGAUUUGCAUGUCUCAAGUGAUUCAAAAUCAAGUGAGUCCAAAUGGUCCAUUUGCAUGGAGUUUCUUCAUGCAUAUACACCAAUAGACAUGGUUCGCAUGUCUCAAACUUUUCAAAAAUGAGUGAGCCCAAAGAUCCAUCAACAUGGAGCUUCUUCAUGCGUUUUAUACUGAUAUGACUUACGUGGCAGUGCCACAAGUAGGUGGUACUAUCAUUACUAUCUUAUAUCUUUUGGCAUGAACAUGUGUAUCACUACGAUCAAGAUUCAAUAAACCAUUCAUUUUAGGUGCAAGACCAUUGAAGGUAUUAUUCAAAUGAACAGAGUAACCAUUAUUCUCCUUAAAUGAAUAGCCGUAUCGCGAUAGACAUAAUCCAAUCAUGUCUAUGCUCAACGCAAACACCAAAUAACAAUUAUUUAGGUUUAACACCAAUCUCGAUGGUAGAGGGAGCGUGCGAUGCUUGAUCAUAUCAACAUUGGAAACACUUCCAACACAUAUCGUCAGCUCACCUUUAGCUAGUCUCCGUUUAUUCCGUAGCUUUUAUUUCAAGUUACUAACACUUAGCAACCGAACCGGUAUCUAAUACCCUGGUGCUACUAGGAGUACCAGUAAAGUACACAUUAACACAAUGUAUAUCCAAUAUACUUCUAUCGACCUUGCCAGCCUUCUCUUCUACCAAGUAUCUAGGGUAAUUCUGCUCCAGUGGCUGUUCCCCUUAUUACAGAAGCACUUAAUUAGUCUCGGGUUUGGGUUCAACCUUGGGUUUCUUCACUAGAGCAGCAGCUAAUUUGCCGUUUCAUGAAGUAUCCCUUCUUGCCCUUGCCCUUCUUGAAACUAGUGGUUUCACCAACCAUCAACAAUUGAUGCUCCUUCUUGAUUUCUACUUUUGUGGUGUCAAACAUCGCGAAUAUCUCAAGGAUCAUCAUAUAUGUCCCUGAUAUAUUAUAGUUCAUCACGAAGCUCUAGCAGCUUGGUGGUAAUGACUUCGGAGAAACAUCACUUUCUCAUCUGGAAGAUCAACUCCCACUCGAUUCAAAUGAUUGUUGUACUCAGACAAUCUGAGCACAAGCUCAACAAUUGAGCUUUUCUCCCUUAGUUUGCAGGCUAAGAAAAUUGUCGGAGGUCUUAUACCUCUUGACAUGGGCACGAGCCUGAAAUCCAAAUUUCAGCCCUCGAAACAUCUCAUAUGUUUUGCGACGUUUCAAAACGUCUUUGGUGCCUCAACUCUAAACCGUUUAACUGAACUAUCACGUAGUUAUGAAAAUGUGUAUGUCAGAUGUUCGCAACAUCCACAGACAACGUUCGAGGUUCAGCACACUGAGCGGUGCAUUAAGGACAUAAGCCUUCUAUGAAGCAAUGAGGACAAUCCUCAGUUUACGGACCUAGUCCGCAUAAUUGCUACUAUCAACUUUCAACUAUUUUUUUUUCUCUAGGAACAUAUCUAAACAGUAGAACUAAAGCGCGAGCUACGACAUAAUUUGCAAAAUCCUUUUGACUAUGUUCAGGAUAAACAAGUUCAUCUUAUGAACUUCCACUCAGAUAGAUAUCCCUCUAGUCAUCUAAGUGAUUACAUGAUCCGAGUCAACUAGGCCGUGUUCGAUCAUCACGUGAGACGGACUAGUCAUCAUCGGUGAACAUCUUCAUGUUGAUCGUAUCUACCAUACGACUCAUGCUCGACCUUUCGGUCUCUUGUGUUCCGAGGCCAUGUCUGUACAUGCUAGGCUCAUCAAGUCAACCUAAGUGUUUCGCGUGUGUAAAUCUGUCUUACACCCGUUGUAUGUGAACGUUAGAAUCUAUCACGCCCGAUCAUCACGUGGUGCUUCGAAACGACGAACUUUCGCAACGGUGCAUAGUUAGGGGGAACACUUUCUUGAAAUUUUAAUGAGGGAUCAUCUUAUUUACUACUGUCGUUCUAAGCAAAUAAGAUGUAUAAACAUGAUAAACAUCACAUGCAAUCAAAUAGUGAUAUGAUAUGGCCAAUAUCAUAGUGCUCCUUUUGAUCUCCAUCUUCGGGGCUCCAUGAUCAUCAUCACCGGCAUGACACCAUGAUCUCCAUCAUCAUGAUCUCCAUCAUCGUGUCUUCAUGAAGUUGUCUCGCCAACUAUUACUUCUACUACUACAGCUAACUGUUAGCAAUAAAGUGAAGUAAUUACAUGGCGUUGUUUAAUGACACGCAGGUCAUAUAAUAAAUUAAGACAACUCCUAUGGCUCCUGCCGGUUGUCAUACUCAUCGACAUGCAAGUCGUGAUUCCUAUUACAAGAACAUGAUCAAUCUCAUACAUCACAUAUCAUUCAUCACAUUCUUCUUGGCCAUAUCACAUCACAUAGCAUACCCUGCAAAAACAAGUUAGACGUCCUCUAAUUGUUGUUUGCAUGUUUUACGUGGCUGCUAUGGGUUUCUAGCAAGAACGUUUCUUACCUACGCAAAACCACAACGUGAUAUGCCAAUUGCUAUUUACCCUUCAUAAGGACCCUUUUCAUCGAAUCCGAUCCGUCUAAAGUGGGAGAGACAAACACCCGCCAGCCACCUUAUGCAACUAGUGCAUGUUUGUCGAUGGAACCGGUCUCACGUAAGCGUAUGUGUAAGGUUGGUCCGGGCCGCUUCAUCCCACAAUGCCGCCGAAUCAAGAUUGGACUAGUAACGGUAAGCAUAUUGAACAAAAUCAACGCCCACAACUACUUUGUGUUCUACUCGUGCAUAGAAUCUACGCAAUAGACCUAGCUCAUGAUGCCACUGUUGGGUAACGUAGCAGAAAUUCAAAAUUUUCCUAUGUGUCACCAAGAUCUAUCUAUGGAGAAACCAGCAACGAGGGGAAGGAGAGUGCAUCUACAUACCCUUGUAGAUCGCUAAGCAGAAGCGUUCAAGAGAACGUGGUUGAAGGAGUCGUACUCGUCAUGAUCCAAAUCACCGAUGAUCCUAGUGCCGAACGGAUGACACCUCUGCGUUCAACACACGUACAGCCCGGUGACGUAUCCCACGCCUUGAUCCAGCAAGGAGAGAGGGAGAGGUUGAGGAAGACUCCAUCCAGCAGCAGCACAACGGCGUGGUGGUGGUGGAGGAGCGUGGCAAUCCUGCAGGGCUUCGCCAAGCACCACGGGAGAGGAGGAAGGAGAGAUGCAGGGCUGCGUCAUAUAGAGGAGAGGAACUCGCGUCUUAUGAGCAGCCCAAACCUCAACUAUAUAUAGGGGAAGGGGAGGGGCUGCGACCCCUUUAGGGUUUCCACCCCUAGGGGUGGCGGCCAGCCUAGAUCCCAUCUAAGGGAGGCGGCCAAGGGGGAGGGGGAGAGGGAGGCGCACCAGGAUGGGCCUUAGGGCCCAUCUGCCCUAGGGUUUGCCCCCUUCUCCUCUCCCUUGCGCCUUGGGCCCUUGUGGGGGGGGGCGCACCAGCCCACCUGGGGCUGGUCCCCUUCCACACUUGGCCCAUGAAGCCCUCCGGGGCUGGUGGCCCCACUUGGUGGACCCCCGGGACCCUCCCGGUGGUCCCGGUACGUUACCGAUAAACCCCAAAACUUUUCCGGUGACCAAAAUAGGACUUCCCAUAUAUAAAUCUUUACCUCCGGACCAUUCCGGAACUCCUCGUGACGUUCGGGAUCUCAUUCGGGACUCCGAACAACAUUCGGUAACCACAUACAAACUUCCUUUAUAACCCCAGAGUCAUCGAACCUUAAGUGUGUAGACCCUACGGGUUCGGGAGACAUGCAGGCAUGACCGAGACGUUCUCCGGUCAAUAACCAACAGCGGGAUCUGGAUACCCAUGUUGGCUCCCACAUGUUCCACGAUGAUCUCAUCGGAUGAACCACGAUGUCAAGGACUUAAUCAAUCCCGUAUACAAUUCCCUUUGUCUAUCGGUAUGAUACUCGCCCGAGAUUCGAUCGUCGGUAUCCCGAUACCUUGUUCAAUCUCGUUACCGGCAAGUAUCUUUACUCGUUCCAUAACACAUCAUCCCGUGAUCAACUCCUUGAUCACAUUGUGCACAUUAUGAUGAUGUCCUACCGAGUGGGCCCAGAGAUACCUCUCCGUCACACGGAGUGACAAAUCCCAGUCUCGAUUCGUGCCAACCCAACAGACACUUUCGGAGAUACCCGUAGUGUACCUUUAUAGCCACCCAGUUACGUUGUGACGUUUGGCACACCCAAAGCACUCCUACGGUAACCGGGAGUUGCACAAUCUCAUGGUCUAAGGAAAUAUUGACAUUAGAAAAGCUUUAGCAUACGAACUACAUGAUCUAGUGCUAUGCUUAGGAUUGGAUCUUGUCCAUCACAUCAUUCUCCUAAUGAUGUGAUCCCGUUAUCAACGACAUCCAAUGUCCAUGGUCAGGAAACCGUAACCAUCUAUUGAUCAACGAGCUAGUCAACUAGAGGCUUACUAGGGACAUGGUGUUGUCUAUGUAUCCACACAUGUAUCUGAGUUUCCUAUCAAUACAAUUCUAGCAUGGAUAAUAAACGAUUAUCAUGAACAAGGAAAUAUAAUAAUAAUCAAUUUAUUAUUGCCUCUAGGGCAUAUUUCCAACAGUCAGAUUGUUCGGUGUUGGGCAGUGCGGUUGAGUCCGGGCUGUUAUUGCCGGGUUCCCCUUCCCAUACUACGGACGGCUUGAAUAGCCUUUCCAAGAAGAUGUUGGGAGGGACUGCAUCGCGUUUUGCGCCGAUGCGUGCCAGGACAUCCGCCGCCUGAUUAUUUUCCCGGGCUAUAUGGUGAAAUUCGAGCCCUUCGAACUGAGCUGACAUUUUUAAGACGAUGUUGCGAUAAGCUGCCAUUUUUGGAUCCUUGGCAUCGAAGUCUCUGUUUAUUUGGGACAUUGCGAGGUUCAAAUCCCCUCGCACUUCUAGGCGUUGAAUACCCAUGGAUACUGCCAUCCAGAGACCAUGUAAGAGGGCCUCGUAUUCGGCUGCAUUGUUGGAGUCUGUGUACAUAAUCUGGAGUACAUAUUGAACUGUGUCUCCUGUGGGGGACGUCAAAACGACGCCAGCCCCCAGACCGGCCAACAUUUUGGAGCCGUCGAAAUGCAUGAUCUAGUUUUAAUAUGUGCCGUACUCUUCAGGGAGUUCGGCCUCCGUCCAUUCUGUGACGAAGUCAGCCAAAACUUGCGACUUGAUAGCUCGCCGUGGCUUAUAAGUUAUGUCGAACGGGAGGAGCUCGAUGGCCCAUUUCGCAAUCCGGCCCGUUGCGUUGCGGUUCUUUAUAAUAUCGUUUAGUGGUACUUCUGAGGCUACUAUUAUUGAACACUCUUGAAAGUAGUGUCGCAGCUUCCGGGAUGCCAUGAAUACCGCGUACGCAAUCUUUUGAUAAUGUGGGUACCUUGAUUUGCACGGAGUGAGGACAGUGGACACAUAAUAGACCGGCUUCUGAAGGGGGAAUUUGUGUCCGUCGUUUCUCGUUCGACGACGAGCACUGCGCUCAGAACCUGAUGGGUUGCUGCAAUGUAUAAUAGCAUUGGUUCGCCAAUGUUUGGCGCGGCCAGGACUGGGUUUGUUGCCAAUAUGGCUUUUAUUUCGUCGAGUCCGGCCGUGGCUGCGUCCGUCCACUCGAAGUGUUCGGUGCGCCUAAGGAGGCGGUAAAGGGGGAGUGCCUUUUCUCCCAAGUGGGAGAUAAAGCGGCUUAGAGCCGCCACACAUCCGGUUUACUUUUGUAUUUGUUUGAGGUCCUUUGGGAUAUUCAAUUGUGACAGAGCUCGGAUCUUGGCUGGAUUUGCUUCAAUUCCUCUACCGAAUACAAUGAAGCCCAAGAGCUUUCCGGCUGGAACGCCGAAAACGCAUUUUUCUGGGUUGAGCUUGAUGUCGUAUGUUCGGAGGUUAUCAAAUGUGAGCCUCAAGUCAUCUACUAGGGAUUCGACAUGUCUUGUUUUUACGACCACAUCAUCUACAUAUGCCUCCACUGUUUUGCUGAUCUGGUUUGCCAGACAUGUCUGAAUCAUGCGCUGAUAUGUUGUUUUGAGCCCGAAGGGCAUUGUGUUGAAGCAGAAUGGGCCGUAUGGUGUGAUCAAUGUCGUUGCGGCUUGGUCUGAUUCUGCCAUCUUGAUUUGAUGGUAGCCGGAAUAUGCGUCGAGCAAGCACAACGAAUCGUGUCCUGCAGUAGCGUCGAUAAUUUGAUCCAUGCGGGGGAGGGGAAAGGGAUCCUUUGGGCAAGCCUUAUUAAGGUCUUUAAAAUCAACGCACAAGUGCCAGGAUUUGUCCUUCUUUGGUACCAUCACUAGGUUUGCUAGCCAGUCCGGAUGUUUUAUAUCUCUGAUGGAUCCGGCCUCUAAUAGCUUGGCUAGCUCCUCUCCCAUGGCCUGUCUCUUAGGUUCGGAAAAACGCCGAAGAGCCUGUUUGACAGGUUUGAAUCCUUUAGGAUAUUUAAGCUGUGUUCGGCCAGCCUGCGUGGGAUUCCUGGCAUGUCUGAAGGGUGCCAGGCGAAAAUGUCCUAGUUCUCACGUAGGAACUCUCGCAGUGCGGCGUCUACAUCAGGGUUUAAUUGUGCACCGAUGGAAGCUGUUUUAUUGGGGUCCGUUGGAUGGACCUGGAAUUUGACUAUUUUGUCCGCUGGUUUAAAUGAGAUGGACUUGGAUCUUUUGUCGAGUAUCACAUCAUCCCUGUUCACCGUGGAGCGCAGCGCAGUCAGCUCCUCAGCCGCUAGGGCUUAGGAUAGUGCCUCAAGGGCCAGUGCGGCUGUCUUAUUUUAGGCGCGGAGUGCUAUGUCCAGAUCACUAGCGAGAGUGAUGAUUCCGUUCGGCCCGGGCAUCUUGAGUUUCAUGUACCCAUAAUGGGGUAUUGCUUGGAAGAUUGUGAACGCUUCCCGCCCUAGCAGAGCGUGGUAUCCGCUACUGAACGGGACCACUUGGAACGUGACCUCCUCGGACCUGUAAUUAUCCGGCGUGCCGAACACCACAUCUAGUGUGAUUUUUCCUGUACAGCACGCUUCCUGACUGGGGAUUAUUCCUCUAAAGGUUGUGCUGCUUCGCUCAAUGCGGUUCCAGUCUAUUUCUAGUUUUUGAAGGGUUUCCUCAUAAAUGAGGUUCAAUCCGCUGCCUCCAUCCAUGAGUACCUUGGUAAGGCGAAAGCCAUCCACUAUUAGACUGAGGACCAAUGUGGCUGGUGCUCGGGCUGUUCGGAAUUUAGGUUCAUCACUGGCAUUAAAAGUAAUAGCCGUGUCACUCCAUGGGUUUAUUGUUGCUACUUGGUAGACUUCGACAAGGCUGCGGAGUGUUCUUUUUCGCAUAUUAUUUGAUGCGAAAGUCUCGAAGACUGUUAAUACCGUACCGGUAUCCCUGGGGUGGCUUUCUAUGGCCUCCGGAAUUAGGAGAUCUUCACCAAUUUUGGCCACCUGCCGGAGUAUCCAACAUGCUCUAAGGCUGUGAGUUGGUGUGGCGCCCUCUGUACUAUGAAUUUUACAGGGUCGAUUAAGCCAUCCUUCCAAUAUGCUUCCAUGCCCUGUAGAGGGUUUUUGCUUUUUGGUGUUUAACCGGGUGUCUGGCGAAGAUGCACCCUUUUAUUUCGGACUGGGUUUGUAUUCAGGGCCGGAUUGUCCCAAAAUUUUAUUUCGGUUUUCCAGGCGCUAUCCAUCGCACAGUACUUUCGUACUAUGGACACCAAGUCAGCGAAGCAUGUAAUAUCACGGCGACUUAUGGCGUUGAGGAUUCCCUUGUCCAUGCAAUUAUUGCAGAAGAAUGAGAUUGCGUCUUCCUCGCGGCAGUCCUUGAUCCUGUUCAUAGCCAGGAGGAAUCUGGCCCAGUAAUGAUGUACUGUUUCUUUGGGUUUUUGCCUAAUUUGGGAUAGAUCGCUUAUGUUCGGGUGGGUGGGUGGAAUUAAAUCCGAAACCUGACCCGAUCUGAGACUCAGAGGCCAAGGAGAUUCCGAACUCGGAAGUUUGGAUUCUUGGAUGUUGUCCAAUGAGUCUAGCCCGUCGCCUGACUCUAAGUUCAGGUCUUGAGUGAUGUCCUCCCCUCCGCGGGUAUCCGACUUGGAGGGAUCGGGAAUCCGGACAUAACUAGUCCUUAAGAUAGAUGAAGGGUCACCGCACUGUCCCUCUACCAUAGCAAUGUGAUGGGUGACCUGGGGAGAGUUAAUCUCUCUUAGAUCGGGUUUAGGCCCAAUCUGGUCAUAAUCCGUGGCAACUCCCAGGGCGGCGACGCGAUCCAAGAGCUCGUUUAUGGAAGAGAGCUCCAUUGUAUCUAACUGCUCGGCGAGUUCCGAGAUGACAUGAAGACUGCUUUUGAUGACCCGAGAGGUCAUCGUCGGCGCAGCAGCCGAACAGGCGGUCAUAAGAAAACCGCCUAGCCGGAGAGUUUGGCCGACAGCCAAAGCUCCCUUAGCAACGGUUCCGUCUUUAAAGACGGGAUGAGGCAUCCUUCCUGAUGGCGACGGCACAGAGGAACUCUCAAUGUAAGCACCAAUAUCGGUGUCAAAACCGGCGGAUCUCGGGUAGGGGGUCCCGAACUGUGCGUCUAGGCGGAUGGUAACAGGACACAAGGGACACGAUGUUUACCCAGGUUCGGGCCCUCUCGAUGGAGGUAAAACCCUACUCCUGCUUGAUUAAUAUUGAUGAUAUGGGUAGUACAAGAGUAGAUAUACCACGAGAUCAAGGAGGCUAAACCCUAGAAGCUAGCCUAUGGUAUGAUUGUUGUUGUCCUACGGACUAAAACCCUUCGGUUUAUAUAGACACCGGAGAGGGUUAGGGUUACACAGAGUCGGUUACAAUGGUAGGAUAUCUACAUAUCCGUAUCGCCAAGCUUGCCUUCCACGCCAAGGAAAGUCCCUUCCGGACAUGGGACGAAGUCUUCAAUCUUGUAUCUUCAUAGUCCGGGAGUCCGGCUGAAGGUAUAGUCCGGCUAUCCAGACACCCCCUAAUCCAGGACUCCCUCACCCAGGUUUUCAGCCAAGAUUAUAACUAACCAUGUCGACAAUAACUCUUAAACAUUAUAGUAACUCUUAUGAGUAGAGGCCGCGGGAAAAAGCCUAGUAGUAGCGCGGAUAAAAGACUAGUAGUAGUGCGGGUGCCCGUGCUACUACUAUGGCGCUACAGCUAACUCGUAGUAGUAGCGCAGGUGCCACCCGUGCUACUAGUACGUGUGUUAGUAAUAGCGCGGAUUCUACACACGCUACUACUAACUAUGUGUAGCGCCUGUCUGUGACCCGCGCUACUACUAUUAAUUUCAAAAACCAAAAAAAAAUCUCGACCCCGUGCAUGUUGUCAAUGGUGUCAUCCAGCGACGACAGGGGUUGCCGGAGGUGUGGACGGGUAGUGGCAGACCAGAUCCGGCGAUGGCUGUUGGAGAUGGCCGGAUCCAGUGUAGAGCAAGACGACGGUGUGAGGAUCCUCUUCGCGGUCAAGGCGGAGAACUCCUGGUUGGCCAUGUCGACGACCUGUGCAGGCAUGGGCAUGGGAGGUGAGUAAAACCAAAGGGAGAGGGAGAGGAGAGGGAGAGGGAAAAAGAGAAACAAGGGAGAAAGGAAGGAGAUGGAGGGCGUAUCGGGGCUGCAUGGAGGCGAGGAGGAAGACGGGCGAGCUCUUGGACGCCAGCGAUGCGAGGAGGAAGACGUUGGGUGCCAUGGAGGAGGAGAUGUUCUUGGGCAGGAGCACCAUGGAGAGAGGGGGAAAGUGAGGGAGAGAGGAGGAAAGUGAGAGAGGGGGAAAGUGAGGGAGAGAGGAGGGAUUCGGCCGAGGAUAUGGAGAUUUCAUCUACCUCGUACUUAGUAGUAGCGAGGGGUAUAAAACCGCACUACUACUAUCAACAUAGUAGUAGCAUGGGUUUGUACCCCUCGCUACUACUAUGGCAUGUCCCGGGAGGGCAUGGUAGACACCGCUUAGUAGUAUCGAGGGUGAAAAACCCGCGCUAAUAGUAUCAACUUAGUAGUAGCGAGGGGUAAAAACCCACGCUACUAGUAAGUAGCAGUAGCGACGGUUAUAAACCCGCGCUACUAGUAAGCGUCUGCCUAUAAGCUUUUCCCUAGUAGUGGCAUAUCUAUGACAUAAUCAACUAGCGAGCAAUAAUAAGAUAUCUCAAACAACAACACGUUGUGAAAACAACCAUGAUAUAAUAUGACAAUAGUGGUAUCUCGCUAGCCCUUUCUAAGACCGCAAAACAUAAAUGCAGAGCACCUCCAAAGUUCAAGCAGCGACUAAACAUUGUAAUUCAUGGUAGAAAAGAUCUAGUCUUGAUGCACCCAACAUUAGCAACACAUAGUGCAUCAGCAUGACAACAGUGCUCUUUGGAUUUGGCACUUAUUUUAGAAGGUGAUGACACAACAUAAAAGUAAAUAGAUAGUCCCUUCGCAGAGGGAAGCAGUGAUUUGCAGCUGUGCCAGAGCUCAAAAUUUUAAAACAGAGGUAAAUGAAAUUUUGGGAAAUUGAUACGUAUCCAAUGUAUCUAUAAUUUUUUAUUGUUCCAUGCUAUAUUAUAUUAUGUUUUGGAUGUUUAAUAGGCUUAUUUAUACACUUUUAUAUUAUUUUUGGGACUAACCUAUUAACCGGAGGCCCAGCACAAAUUGCUGUUUUUGUUCCUACUUCAGUGUUUCGCAAAAAAAAGAAUAUCAAAUGGAGUGCAAACGGAAUGAAACCUUCGGGAACAUGAUUUUUGAAACAAAUGUGAUCCAGAGGACUUGGAGUCCAUGUCAAGCAGUCAACGAGGAGGGCACGAGGCAGGGGGCGCUCCUACCUCCCCCUAGGCGCGCCCUCCACCCUCAUGGGGCCCACGUUGCUCCACCGGCGUACUUCUUCCUCCUAUAUAUACCUACGUACCCCCAAACCAUCAGGGGCAUCCACGAAAACCUAAUUCCACCGCCGCAACCUUCUGUACACGUGAGAUCCCAUCUUGGGGCCUUUUCCGGCAUCCUGCCGGAGGGGGCAUUGAUCACGGAGGGCUUCUACAUCAACACCAUAGCCACUCCGAUGAUGUGUGAGUAGUUUACCUUAGACUUUUGGGUCCAUAGUUAUUAGCUAGAUGGCUUCUUCUCUCUCUUUGGAUCUCAAUACAAAGUUCUCCACGAUUCUCGUGGAGAUCUAUUCGAUGUAAUCUUCUUUUGCGGUGUGUUUGUCGGGACCGAUGAAUUAUGGAUUUAUGAUCAAGUUUAUCUAUGAACAAUAUUUGAAUAUCCUCUGAAUUCUUUUAUGUAUGAUUGGUUAUCUUUGCAAGUCUCUUCGAAUUAUCAGUUUGGUUUGGCCUACUAGAUUGAUCUUUCUUGCAACGGGAGAAGUGCCUAGCUUUGAGUUCAAUCUUGUGGUGUCGUUUCCCAGUGACAGCAGGGGCAGCAAGGCACGUAUUGUAUUGUUGCCAUCGAGGAUAACAAGAUGGGGUUUAUAUCAUAUUGCAUGAGUUUAUCUCUCUACAUCAUGUCAUCUUGCUUAAAGCGUUACUCUGUUCUUAUGAACUUAAUACUCUAGAUGCAUGUUGGAUAGCGAUCGAUGUGUGGAGUAAUAGUAGUAGAUGCAGGCAGGAGUCGGUCUACUUGUCACGGACAUGAUGCCUAUAUACAUGAUCAUACCUAGAUAUUCUCAUAACUAUGCUCAAUUCUAUCAAUUGCUCGACAGUAAUUUGUUCACCCACCGUAAUACUUAUGCUUUUGAGAGAAGCCACUAAUGAAACAUAUGGCCCCCGGGUCUAUUUUCCAUCAUAUUAAUCUUCCAACACAUAGCCUUUUCUAUUGCCCUUUUUAUUUUACUUUGCAUCUCUAUUUCUCUUUAUCAUAGAAAUACUAAAAAUAUUAUCUUAUCAUAUCUAUCAGAUCUCACUCUCGUUAGUGACCGUGAAGGGAUUGACAACCCCUUUAUCGCGUUGGUUGCGAGGUUCUUAUUUGUUUUGUGUAGGUGCGUGGGACUUGAGCGUGGCCUCCUACUGGAUUGAUACCUUUGUUCUCAAAACUGAGGGAAAUACUUACGCUACUUUGUUACAUCACCCUUUCCUCUUCAAGGCAAAAAACAACGCAAUGCUCAAGAGGUAGCAAGAAAGAUUUCUGGCGCCGUUGCCGGGGAGUUUACGCAAAAGUCAACAUACCAAGUACCCAUCACAAACUCUUAUCCCUUGCAUUACAUUAUUUGCCAUUUGCCUCUCGUUUUCCUCUCCCUCGCUUCACCCUUGCCGUUUUAUUCGCCCUCUUUUCCGCUCGCCUUUCCUUCGCCAUGUCGGAACCAAAAAGAGUUGGGGGUUCUCUCCCGAGUUUUAGUACUUUGGACGAUCCUUCUAUUCUAUCUAAACUCAUAAAUAAUGUCAUGGUAAAACCUGCCGGAGUUGUCAAUGAGAGUCUUAAUAAUUUUGAUGAAGAUGAUUCCGGAAUUUUUCGUUAUUUACUCGAUGAAUCUUUGAAAGAUGCUUGGGAUAGACUGUUAAGGAUCCGGGCUAACUAUGUGCCCCAAUACCAAAUUGUAGUUUACUUGAAGAGCUUUUAUGUUGCCCUACCUUCUUCGUUUAAGCAUGUCUUAGAUUCUAUAUUUGAAGAAGGCUUUCUUGAAGGGGAUGCCGUAGAUACUUAUGAAAAGAUGAAGACCAUAUUCGGGCACCCCAUGAAUGAGAAAAUUGAAUCUACAUCUCUUUUGCUCUCCAGUCCUUGGUUCAUGUAAAUCUGAAUCUAGCCGGCACUACCCCUUCACAAGCUGUUGCAUAGUCUUCAGCGAGGUGCGGCAUAACUUCCGUGUGAGGGGAAAUGAACUUCUCCAUGAAUACCUUCUCUCUCACCUUGAAAGCGGUAUAGUAGUAGCCUGGGUUGCACUUGAGCAAUCCAUUUUCCAUGAGAAACUUUACAACGUAGUACCUGGGUUUCAUCCAGCCCUCCAGCUUGUAAUUGAUAAUUAUUGACCGUUGAGCAACGUAGGUAGGUUCCAACCUGUUAGACUAUGUAUAGCUUCUGUACCUAUGUACGUAUAUGGUACAUAUUGUAACACAACCAUUAUAUAUAAUGAGAUAAGCCACCCCUAGAGGGUUGUGCUGGUUCCCCAAAACUUAUUGUCUUACAUGGUAUCACGCUAGGUUACGAUCGCUUCCGCUUCUAAACCCUAAUACCCGCACCGCCGCCGCAGCCGCCGCCGCCUUCACCGCCGCCGCCGCGCCACCGAUCGCGCCGCCGCCAUGUCGAGCGCUGCCACCACCGGUUCCACUGCUGCGGGCUUCCUCCCGGCCUCUCUUGCGGCUCUGCUCAACCUCCCGCUCGAUGCCGUCUCUGUUCCGGCUCCGAUCGGGACAAGGAGCAUCGGCUCCGUCUUCUCCAUGCCGCCGGCGCCCUCGCUUGGGCGUGACCUCGUGGUCCACACCGCGGCGCCGCCGUCCGCUGCGGACUCCGCAGGCAUCGUCCCGCCGCUCCUGCCGCAAGCGGAUCACACUGCCCCGCUGGCGGGGUUGGCGGCGUCCGCCCCGGCCGCGGGCCUUGCGGCGUCCGCACCGGCCGCGAGCUUUGCGGCGCCCGCCCUGGCUGCGGUCCCGCCUCCUCCCGCAUCGGCUUCGGUGCCUCCAGCUGCCUCCAUGGUGUUUGCACCCCAGGCAGCCUCCUCGAUGGGAUUGUCUUCGCCGCUGCCGUUUCACUUCGGUCAUCUCAUCACCAUCAAGCUCUCCGCCGACAACUACAUCUUCUGGCGUGCGCAGGUUCUCCCGCUCUUGGGGAGUCACUACCUGCUAGGCUACAUCGACGGAUCGCUUCCCUGCCCACCCGCGCUGGUAGACAGCAUGCACGGUCCGGUCUACAAUCCGGCCCAUCGCGUCUGGACGGGGCAGGACCAGGCGAACCUCUCCUCCAUCCAGGGGUCGCUCUCGCCGGCAGUUGUCGGCCUUGUUGUCUUCGCGAAGACGUCUCAUGAGGCCUGGACCAUCCUUGAGCACACCUUUGCAGCGCAGUCCCAGGCUCGUGUCUCUGCACUCCGUCGUCAGCUUGGAGAGUGUCAGAAGCUUGACUCCACUGCCACUGAGUUCUACAACAAGGUCAAGGGCCUCGCCGACACAUUGGCCUCCAUUGGACAGCCCCUCACCGACUCCGAGUUCAACUCGUUUAUUGUCAAUGGUCUUGAUGAGGAGUAUGAUGCCUUAGUCGAGAUCAUCAACGAGCGGGGCAACUCGACACCCAUGCUGGCACACGAGGUUUUCUCUCGGCUCCUUCUCACUGAGCAACGGGUCGAGACUCGCCGCACCAGGGGCACUGGCUCCCUCUCGGCCAACGCCGCCACCAAGGGUGGCCGCUCUUCUUCAUCACCCCGGUCUCCCUUGGGGCUGCCACCGUCGCCCUCCUCGGCCCCCCACCUACUGCGACCUUACCGGGGGCUGGCGUUCCACGUGUGUGUCAGCUUUGUGGCCGCGAUGGGCACUGGGCCUCCAAGUGUCAUAAGCGCUUCCAGCGAAGCUUCCUUGGUCUUGGCAAUGACGGCAAAGAUACACGCAACAAUGCCCGUCAGGUCGCCAUGGCUGAUCGUCCCGCGCCGCAGAAGCAACAGGGACACACUCAGUCCUACUCCAUCGAUCCACACUGGUACAUGGACUCUGGGGCGAUAGAGCAUCUAACCAGCGAGAUGGGGAAGCUUCACACUCGUGAACCCUAUCAUGGCUCCGACAAGAUCCACACCGCCAAUGGAGCAGGUAUGCACAUCUCUCAUAUUGGUCAAGCAUCUCUUCUCACUAGACAUGCCAAUAGGAGUCUUCAGCUUCGCAAUGUUCUUCGAGUUCCAUCUGUGACCCGUAAUCUUCUUUCAGUUCCUAAACUCACACGUGAUAAUAAUGUGCUUUGUGAAUUUCACCCUUUUGAUCUUUUUAUUAAGGAUCGGGGCACGAGGGACAUUCUUCUUAGUGGGCGGUUGUGCCAGGGCCUCUACCGUCUGGAGCAUCCUGGUGUCGCUCGUGUUUUCAGUGGAGUUCGGGUCUCUCCGUCACAGUGGCAUGCUCGUCUUGGUCACCCGGCCACACCUAUUGUCCGUCAUAUUUUGCGUCGUCAUGAGCUUCCUAGUUUGUCUAGUCAUAAAGAUGUAGCAGUGUGUGAUGCUUGUCAGCAGGGGAAGAGUCAUCAACUUCCUUUUUCGGAGUCCAGUCGUGAGGUGAAACAUCCUUUAGAACUUGUGUUUUCAGAUGUAUGGGGUCCUGCUCAGACUUCUGUCAGUGGUCAUAAUUACUAUAUCAGUAGUCGCUUUACCUGGCUUUACCUUAUUAAACGCAAAUCUGAUGUGUUUGAUAUUUUUGUUCAGUUUCAAAAACAUGUUGAACGUCUUCUCAAGCACAAAAUUGUUCAUGUCCAGUCAGACUGGGGGGGCGAGUAUCGCAACCUCAACUCUUUCUUUCAGUCGCUUGGGAUAGCUCAUCGUUUAGCAUGUCCACAUACACAUCAGCAGAAUGGUUCAGUCGAACGUAAGCAUCGUCAUAUUGUUGAAGCUGGUCUUACUCUUUUGGCCCAUGCAUCUAUUCCGUUUCGGUUUUGGAGUGAUGCUUUCACCAUUGCAUGCUUUCUCAUCAACCAUACUCCUACUCGUGUUUUAAACAUGAAGACUCCCAUUGAGGUUCUCCUUAAUGAACAACCUGAUUAUACCUUUCUCAAGGUAUUUGGGUGUGCUUGCUGGCCGCAUCUUCGUCCAUAUAACAAGCGCAAGCUUGAGUUUCGUUCUAAGAAGUGUGUUUUUCUUGGCUAUAGCUCUCUUCAUAAAAGUUACAAAUGUCUUCAUGUUCCCACUAAUCGUGUCUAUAUAUCUCGGGACGUCGUGUUUGAUGAGCAUGUUUUUCCCUUUGCCAACCUUCCUGUGUCCACUGUCGAACCACCAUCCCUGCAUUCAUCCUCUGUUGCUUCUGACCAAUUUGAUGAUGUUGCAUACUCUCCUUUGCUGUUACCUAACCAUCUCCACUGCUCGGUCCGUUUCGCCAGCGGCCGCCGAGUCGCCCGCGACUCGGCCCGUCACGCCGUCUUCGCCUGCGGCUCGGCCCGUCACGCCGUCUUCGCCCGCGGCUCGGGUCCUCAUGUCGCCUUCAUCAGCGGAUCGGCCUGCGACACCGGCCGCGCCACGGCCCACUAUGCCGAGCUCGCCAUCGGCCCGGUCUGUGAUGCCGGAGUCGCCAGCUGCUUCGUCUGCUCUGCCGGUUUCGCCGGUGGGUCGGCCUUCUUCGCCAACCGAGUCCGAGGCUACCGUGACUGGCUCCUCGUCACCGGCUGACUCGUCAACGUCGCCGUCCUCCAGCCCGUUGCAGGCUGCUCCGUCGACCUCGGUGGUUCCUGUGUCCCGACCACAUACAUGCAGUCGCAGUGGCAUUUUCAAACCUAAGGAACGUAAGGAUGGUACGGUUGCUUGGUUGGCUGCUUGUUUGGCUGCUGCUGUUGCGGAUCCAUCUUCUGAGCCUCGCUCAUAUCAGGCUGCCCUGCGCAUUCCACAUUGGCGAGAGGCUAUGGAGCAGGAGUUUCAUGCUCUUCUUCGUAACAAGACAUGGACUCUCGUUCCUCCACCACCACGGGUAAAUGUUAUUGAAUCAAAAUGGGUAUUCAAAGUGAAGAAGCAUUCGGAUGGAUCUAUUGAGCGUUACAAAGCGCGACUUGUUGCUCGCGGUUUUCGGCAGCGUCAUGGUCUUGACUAUGAGGACACCUUCAGUCCUGUCGUCAAGCCUACCACUAUUCGACUUCUUCUCUCCAUUGUUGUUUCUCGUGGUUGGUCACUUCGUCAACUUGAUGUGCAGAAUGCUUUUCUACAUGGAUUUUUGGAGGAAGAGGUUUAUAUGAAACAGCCGCCUGGUUUCUCUGAUCCUGAUCGUCCUGACUAUAUCUGUCGUCUUUCCAAAGCACUAUAUGGUUUGAAGCAAGCUCCUCGUGCCUGGCAUGCCUGCCUUGCCUCUGCCCUUCGUGCUCAUGGGUUUGUGCCGUCUACUGCUGACACUUCGUUAUUUCUUCUACAGAAGCCAGAAGUCACUAUGUAUCUUUUGGUAUAUGUCGAUGAUAUUAUCCUUGUCAGCUCUUCUCAGUAUGAUGCUGAUGCUCUUGUCUGCUCUCUUGGUGCUGAUUUUGCGGUCAAAGAUCUUGGGAAGCUUCACUACUUUCUUGGAGUUGAGGUCACUUCUCGUGCUACUGGUCUUGUCCUUACGCAGAAGAAGUACUCCUUGGAGUUGUUACAGAGAGCUGGCAUGCUGAAGUGCAAACCGACCACCACACCCAUGUCGUCUACCGACAAGAUAACAGCUGCUGAUGGUGAGCUUUUGUCUCCUGCGGAUGCCACAGAGUACAGGAGCAUUGUUGGUGGACUUCAGUACUUGACGAUCACGAGACCAGAUAUCUCUUAUGCUGUUAACAGGGUUUGUCAGUAUCUUCAGGCUCCCAGAGAUACUCAUUGGGCUGCUGUUAAACGCAUUCUUCGUUAUGUUCAGUUCAUCCUGACAUUUGGUAUGCAUAUUCGGCCGACUUCCUCUCGGGUCCUUUCGGCCUUCUCUGAUGUAGAUUGGGCUGGUAGCCCAGAUGACAGACGAUCCACGGGGGGUUAUGCAGUAUUCUUUGGCUCUAAUUUGAUCGCCUGGAGUGCUCGGAAACAAGCUACUGUGUCACGUAGCAGUACUGAAGCUGAGUACAAGGCUGUGGCUAAUGCUACUGCAGAGAUUAUUUGGGUGCAGUCUUUGCUUCAGGAGUUGGGUUUGUCUCAACCACAGCCUCCUAUUCUUUGGUGUGAUAACAUCGGUGCUACAUACCUUUCUGCAAAUCCAGUAUUUCAUGCCCGAAUGAAACACAUUGAAGUUGACUAUCACUUUGUACGGGAACGUGUAUCACAGAAGCAACUCCAGAUCAAGUUUAUCUCAUCUAAGGAUCAACUUGCAGACAUCUUCACUAAGCCUUUACCGCUGCCACAGUUUGAGGCUUGUAGGCGCAAUCUUACCCUUCUCAGUUCUUUAGAAAGUGGCUAAGAUUGAGGGAGGGUGUUAGACUAUGUAUAGCUUCUGUACCUAUGUACGUAUAUGGUACAUAUUGUAACACAACCAUUAUAUAUAAUGAGAUAAGCCACCCCUAAAGGGUUGUGCUGAUUCCCCAAAACUUAUUGUCUUACACAACCCCACCUCAGAGAUGAGGAAAUCAGACCUGCGCUGCAGUAAUUCCUUUGACUUCCUCAGCAGACACGGAGCGUUACACACAACAAUGCUCACCUCAGCGUCUGACCACCUGAACAUCUUCUUCAAGUAGGCCACAUUGGCGGCGAUCUUCUCCUCGCUGAGGAAUCUGACAGUAUCCAGCGUGUGCCUGAACAUCCUGAGCCACGAGGCAUGCCAAGGCCUUCGGCGCAUGCCACCAUCGCCCUGACGUGUUCUGGCUUGUUGCUCAGGACACCCCGCGCGCGGAGGGACAACUUGGUGAUAUCGCAAUCAUCUAGCCCGCAUUGCCGUAGGAGCGCGACGUUGGGUUUGACCAUCUCCUCGAUGCUGUGUUUUGGUUUUCGGUUUGCGUUUUUUCUCGCCCCUGAACGAGAUGGCCGAAAUUCGGCCAUUUCAAAAAUCUCGGUAAAAUCUCGGACGAAAUUACAAAACCAAAAUUUGAAUUUUAAACGAAAUUUGACUAAAAAUUGGCCGAAAUUCGGCCGAAUUUUUUGAAAACAAGCAGAGCAAAUGUACAGCAGUCGAACAACACUGAGGAGUACAUGUAUGCGUUACCAAACUAGCUUUGGGGAUUAAUAACUCCAAAAGAAAAGAUUGAAACAAGGAUACAGAGAGGUGAUCCAGAGUUGAGGAGUUCCCGAUGGAUUCAGCCGCAGCCCGCAGCCGGCAGAGGUCAGCAGCAGGGGCCGGUCGUAGGAACGGCGAGAACGGGGUAGGAGCCGCAUGCUCGAGCGGGGAGGCAGGUGCCGACGAGCGGAGGAGCCGCGUAUUGGCGCAUCGCCGCCGCCGCAAACACAGGGGCCGCAGGGGAUCGUGGUUAGUUUAGGGUUCACGAGUUCGGUUCGAUGCUUUUAAUCCAGGCAAACCGUGGGGAGGCCCAGAAGUUGGACUGGGCCAGAAAAAAGUUUCAAUCUGGGCCGAAAGUUUUGGCCGGCACAGACAUUUACCGGGUCGAGGCGAGAUGACCGAAAUUCGGCCGAAAAUUGUUUUUUUCGGCCGAAAAUCAAAACACAGCCUCGAUGUCAGCGCCGGCGAGGUAGCCUUGCUUGAGCACCCGGAAGAGGUUCUCCGAGGAGCCGAAUAGGAGCAGGUAGUACCGCAAAUUGGAAACAAUGGACCUGGAACAGAAGUGGGCGAAGGAGAGCGCGACGAGGCGCACGAUCUCAGUACGCGAGAGGCCGAGGCCGGUGAGCCCACGACGACGGGGGCUAGAGUUUUCUCUACUUUGGCGCAGAGGAACAACGGGUCCUUGGCGACGAGGGCGGCGACGUCGGUGCCGGAGAGGCCGAGGCCGGCGAGGAAGGAAAGGACGGCGUCGGGCUUGGACGAGGACUUGAGGUGGGAGAGCUUGGCGGAGGCCUUGAGUGCCUGGGGUCGGGUGAGGCCGAAGGUGGAGACGAGGUAGUCGUCGACGACGAAGCUAGGGUUUGGGGAAACGCCGGGCGCGGCGGCCGCGGAGAGGGGGCGGUGGAGAGGGGGGCCUGAGAGGUGGCGGGGGAAGAGAGGAGCCGCACGAGGAUGCAGCCACGGAGGCGGAGCAUGGCGGCGGCGGCGGCGGAGAGAUUGAUUCCCUAUGGAGGCGGGUGCGAAUGGGAUGGUGCUUCGGAGGCGGGGAUGCGGCGCCCCGGCGAGGCAGGUGAGGAACGGAGGAAGAGAACAGGAGGAGAGAUCGAAGAGGAUGGCACUUCGGCGGCGGCGGCGGCGCCGCCGAAGAGAUUUUCCGGUCCGCUGUGAGUGGAGAGGAAAAAUGGGAAAUGGCAGGUGCGAUGCGAAUGGAGGCUCCGCAAAUUGCAAUAUCACUGAAUCCCAGGGGUCUUUACGUCUUUCAAAAAUACAAAAUACAUUUAAAAAAACAUACAUAAUACAUUGAGCCUCAUGGAAACUUUCAUAUACACAUGGAAAAUAGAUAUCCCCUCCGUUUAAUAAUGUAGUGCAUAUAGAUUUUUGAAAGUCGGACUUUGCAAAUUAUGAUCAAAUUUAUAAAGCGAACUACUUAUACCUACAUUAUCAAAUAUAUAAAAUAUGAACCUACGUCUUAUGAUGAAUCUAAUGAUAUAUGCUUGACAUUCUAGAUGUAAAUGUUUUUCUUCACAAACUUGGUCAAAUUUUGUUAGAUUUGACUUUUCAAAAAAUCUACAUGCAAUCAUUAUGCAAUCGGUAUUAUAAGGAAAAUGACUUUGAGCGAUAAGAUUAUAUCACAAAAUAAGCUAUUAUACGACUUGUACUUAUCCUAUGAUUUUUUUCUGUAGGUAUAGUACUUCAUCCGUUUUUAUUUACUUUGCAUAUUAGAGUUGACUGAAGUCAAACUUUGUAAAGUUUGACCAAGUUUAUAGAAAAGAAUAUAAAUAUUUACCCUAACAAACGAAAAUCUGCAUCUGAGCCCGGGCUCAGAUGUUCCCGCUCAGAAAAAAAUUCAAAACAAAUUCUAGAAAAAUUCAAAUAAAUCCAAUUUUUUGUGUGGUAGAUAAUUUGAUGCGUGAGGCCCGCUUCAAAUUUCAACUCAUUUGGAUAUCUGAGGAGCUCUCGGCAAAAAAGACAAAUCGGAUCAAAACAGUUCGUGAACAAUAAACUUUUUUACAGACCCGAUUUUGUCUUUUUGCAGAGAGCUGCUCAAAUGUCCAAACGAGUUGAAAUUUGCAGCAAACCUCACGCAUCAAAUUAUCUAUCACACAAAAAAUGGAAUUUUUUUGAUUUUUUCUAGUAUUUGUUUUGAUUUUUUUCGUCGGAGCGAGUGCAGUUGAGCCCGGGAGCCAAAUUGGCUUAUAUGAUGUGAAAGUAUGUUCAAUAAUGAAUGUAAUGGUAUUGAUUUGUUAUUGUACAUGUUAAUAUUUUUGACUAUAAACUUCGUCAAAAUUUAUAAAGCUUGACUUUGACCAAAACUAAUAUGCGGAAUAAAUAAAAACGGAGGGAGUAAAUGGCUAUGUUUUUUUUUGUACGUAGUAAAUGGUUACUUUUUCUGAUUUUUUUUAAAUGGUUAUGCUUGCUAACCAAUCCAAUUCAAAUUAUAUGUCGCUCAAACGGAUGUAUCUAAUUAAUAUGGAUCGGAUGGAGCAGAAAAGUUCAUAUGGAUAUAUAUUUUCUCAAAACUUGAAAGUAUGAUUUCUACAAGUAAAAAAAAAUCAUAUGUGAACUAUGUUUGUUUUUAGCAUUUUGUGUGCGUUCAUGUUUCUUUUUCUCUCUCUUCAUUCUAGCCUCUUUUCCUCCACCUCACUCUGUUCUCACAUUGACAUUGUUGCCUUUUUCAGUGGACUCCUACCUAUCUUUUCUAACUUUUGCAAGGUGAGAAUUGAGAAGGUUAUUAUUCUUUAGUUUUAUGUGUAUAGCUAUCCUAGAGUCGAGAUCAAUUGCAUCGUGUCCACUUAUCCUCUAUAACACUAAGCUUCCUAGUUUUAAAAAGCCCACACUCAAUUAAGGUCUCCAAUUAGAAUUGGAUCAUCCGAUUUUGAACGGGUCAACAAUUUCUCAAAGCUUCAUAAUCCAAUUUUUUUAUACUAUACCAUAUGCUUCCUAAUUUUUAAGGCCUCACAAUUAAUUAAGAUAUUCAAUAUAGAUUGAUCAUCCAAUUUUGACUGGGUCAACAAUUUCUCAACCUCUCCAAUUGAAUUCUUUUAAUUCACUAUAUUCCAAAAUUUUGAAUCUCUUUCAUUCAAUUGAGGUAUUCAAUUUUGAUUUGGUUGAAGAUUUUGAGUGGGCCAAUGAUUUUCAAAUCAAUCAGCUGCAACUGACCUAUAAAAACAUAUCAAUCCCAUGCACCCUUCCACCACAUAGAAAAAAGAAACGUCACCAUGUGAUAUUGUAGUAUCAAUAUAGUACAUGCAACCACCAACGCAGAAAUUUUUCCACAUAAAUAUAGGUUGGUUAGCGGAUGACACAGUCAUCUCCCCACCCGCCUAACUUAAUAUUCCAUCAGUUAUAAAAUAUGAAGGGUAUUAAUUUUGUAGAAAGUAAAACUUCUUUAACUUUGACCAAGUUCAGAGCAAAAAUAUCAACAUCCACAAUAUUAAACAAAAAAAGUAUGGAAAUUCAUUUCGUGAUGAAUCUAAAAAUACUGAUUUAAUCUUAUGAAUUUUGAUAUAUUUCUCUCAAAUUUGAAAAAACUUAAAAGGUUUGGCUUUUCAAAAAAAUACACCUUAUAUUAUGAAACAGAGUGAUUAGUUUCUUAAGAUACCCAAUAACAUGAACGGCGCAGCAAAGCGCGCAGAACCCUUCUAGUUAGUAGUAUAUCUAAGAACAAUUAGCAUCCCAUUGAUGAUCGAUAAACCUUCUUAGUCCAGCUAGUGGUUGGUUGUCUAGAGUAUAGCUGGCCAAAUGGGCCGGUUUUUUCGGGUCGGCCCGUGAGCACGCCGGCACGGCCCACCUUGGGCCAGGCACGGCACGGGCCAAACGAGCCAGGCCCAGCACGCGGCACGCCCUAGGCCGUGCCUGGGCUGGAGGCUGGGCAUGCGGGCCGGCACGGCACGGCCCGAUUAUGUUUUUUAUAUUUGUUAUACAUUUAUAUAUGAUCCAACAUGUAAAAAUAAGCUAAAAACGCUCAAUGCGUCAAAUAAUAGGCUAAAAAUAUGCGGCCCACCGUGCUAAAUGGGCCAACGUGCCGGCUCGUUUACUAACGGGCCGUGCCUGGGCCUGGGGGCGCAGCACGCGGGCCGGCACGGCACGGCACGUAUAGUAAUCGUGCCCUGGCGGACCGUGCCGGACCAGGCACGAUUAUGAUGGGCCGGGCCAUGCCGUGCCGGGCCAGCCCGUUUGGCUAGGUAUGGUCUAGAGAUCUAUAUGGAGUCAGUUGAGAUGGGAUGGUCAGCCAAGUGGGUUGAUCAAUGCUCCUCUUAAAAUUCGAAGCCUAAAGUAGAUGUGCUACUCGAGAAAUAAAAAGACCAACGUAGACCGUACCAACAUCUAAUAUUUGACGUCACAUUUAAAUUUGAUACUAUUCAUACCCAUAAUUGUCCCUUUGCUCAUCGAAUUAUGCAUCUUAUAUAAAUGUUGUAAAUGAUCAAUUUUUAUAAUAAUUUUAGGGUUGUAGUUCGGUGCAUAGGUAGCUCAGAGGAACCAUAGUCAUCGCUUCCUCUCCAAAAAAGCUUAGGGUUCCUAUGCCUCCCGCUGGCGCAGCUGCCGGUCCACCUCGUCUCCGGUGGCCCUAGGGUCAUGGGGACACGGUGAAUCUCAUCCCUUACCAGAGGGCUUCGUUUUUAGACGUUUCUUUGAAUUUUGUUAGGGUUGUGUCUUGCUAAUUAAGGAGGGCAAGACAACGACGGCUUCCUGAAGAUUGAAUAAGAUUCUCCCCGCCUAGCCCCCGUCUCGAUGGCGCAUCUAACAUCGUCGAAGAGUGUGUGGAGGUGUAUCUCCGCCAGAUCUCGCAGGAUUCGGUAGGUGGUUUGUCUUUGGUGGAUCUACUCGGACCCGGUCUUCGUUCGUCUACGUUUGUGUGUCGCUAGAUUGGAUCCUUCCGAUCUAUGGGUCUCUUCAUCGGCGGGGGUUGCUAUUCUAGUGCGCUGGUCCUACGAGGCCUUAGCACGACAAGUUCCCGACUGUGUACUACAAUAAGUUCUGCCCGGCUCCGGGGAGGGAAGGGCGAUGACGACGGUGCGUCUUCGGCUCGUUUUAAUGCUUGUAGUCUUUGCUAGAUGGUCUAAGGAUGAAUGUGAUUUUUAUUAUUCCUAUUGUUCAUUGUAUUGUCAUGAUUGAAAAUGAAUAUAUCAAAUGAUUUCUCAUAGAAAAGAAGCUCAUAAGAACCAUUAAAAGGACAAUCGUGUGGUCUCCCUAGACUUUUUUUUAGAAAAGGAGGAAGACCCCCGGCCUCUGCAUCUGAGCGAUGCAUACAACCACUUUAUUAAUUAUUCUCAAAAGACCUUACAAAGAAAUACAACAAUAAGUCUGAAGCCAUCAUCUAGGCAACAUCUGUUGCUACUCCUAUUCAUUUGAUGAAGGGAUGCUGAUAGUCUGGGCUUAAUACCAAACAGACCUCGCAGCCAAACCUAACAUCUAAGACCUGAGUUCCCAUCCAGGACGCCUGCCGGGUAUGGGUCACCCACCGGUCCGGCACACUCCUCAACAUGGACGCCUGCCGGGUAUGAGGCCGCCGCAGCCACCUGCCACCAAUCCAUCUUCAGAGAUGUAGUGUUGCAUCUACCUUGUCCGGUCUAGCUGCCGUCGACGCCACCACGAUGCCAGACAACGCCACCAUCCUGCGCUCGUCCAUCAACACACGCCCAGCAGCAAGAUCCCGCUGCUCUAUGCCCCUGAGACCCGCCAUUGUCGACGUAUCAGAUGCAACGCCGCUCCUCCUUCGCGAACACCACCUUCUACCACUGGUCCUAUCCCCUCCACCUGUAGAUCCUCUGAACUCCCAACCGAGCCCUAGUGCCCCUGACGACACCUCCAGGAAGGUCACGACGCAAAAAGCGCCGCUGCCGCCAGAUCCGAAAAGGAUUGAAGGUUUUCACCCGGCCGGGGAUCGGGGUGGAUAGAUUGGGCCCUCAGCUGCGCCUUCAUGAAGGAAAGCGGCACCCAUGAGCGUCGCCGCCGCCGGGCCGGCUAGACUGGCCAAGGUUUUCCCCGGACCCAAAGUACACCACCAGGGCUGACCACCACCGGAGCCUGCAGCCGUAAACCACCAGGACGACGACAGAGGCAGCAGGAGAAAGGGGAACCAUUAAAAGGACAAUCGUGUGGUCUCCCUAGAUGGUCCUUGGAGGGAGCGAUGCAAUUUCAUUUCCUUUUUAUUGCAUUCUCAUGGAUCUAUGGGAUACACAGAUUUGGAAUAGCCAUGCGUUAUAUAGGUUUGGAAAAGAUGAAUGGGCAGGACAAAGCCCAUCAAGGUCCACAGUUGGACAUGGUAUUUUUCUCUUCCCUGAUCUUGUGUGGUUGUUACAUUACAACGAGGACUAGAUGCAUUCAUGAACCUGAGGAGACUAUAUACGGUGAUUAUAUCGUGGCUAUCAUAUUUACCUAUUUUACAAAGAAUGAUCGGAUAUAAUUUACUGGUACAAUCCAUUGUGUGCCUUUCACGCUUCCGUCAGUUUAAUUUCCUCACAUUUUAAGUAGUCUUGUGAAGUUGUGAUCAGGUAGCUCGCAAUCUGAAUUUCUGUAAUGAAUUUUUUUUGGUCCAACGAGUAAAACGUAGACUUGGUGACCCUCAAAAGGGAUGAUAUUUUACAUAACGAGUAAAUCAUGAUGUCCUUAGAUAUUUCUUAUGAGUAUUUCUUCUUUUCUGCGGAAAAGUUUCUUGUCUUCCGAACUCUUGGAUGUGGGCAGAACUCUUGAUGAGCCGAGGCACCCGCGGCAUGCCAUUGUGAGUCAAGUUUGCCAUUGUUUGAUGGGAAGUUUUCAAGUGCUACAUGUAGAAGGACGCUAUAGUGGCUGCAAUCUUGCUGCUAAGUGACACGUACUGUCACCCUGUUUCUAAUGAAAAAAACUGAAGAACAAUGACUCAUUUAAACAUUGUUCAAUUUUGUGGUUCAUGAGCCUUUUCUUCAAAGUUUACUUAAAAGUUGGGUUAUUAGGUAAAAAAUGGUUCCUUUCCUUUUGUGCUUGCAAUUUAUUGUCCUGACAAAAACACUUUUUAUUGCAGUGCUAAGAAAAUGCGUCUACUACUUGACUGAACUAAAUACUCUUGAUAGCAAACCCUCUCUGGGCAUAUUCGUAGAUUCAAGGUGAGGAGACAUGCCAGCAUACAGACCAGCAACAUACAUGGCACAUGUACGACGUUCUAACAAGAGCAUAAAGUUGAUUGAUUCUUGAUAGCAUCACCUGAAUAUAUCACUCACGGAUUCAUGAAUGUUCCCCGUUGCAAUGCACGGCCAUUCACCUAGUAAAGGCAAUGAUUUGUUGGUAGUAGAGGCAUCUCAUGUUUCAAAGGGUUAAACCUUAGCCGUCGUGACCCGGCUCCAUGGCUGGGUCAAUCUCGCACCUCUGUUGGUGCCGAACCCUAGGCAAAUUCCCCCAAAUCUCUUGUUGUUUCUAUUGAUUGACCGAAUGUGAGGAGCAAUAGUAGAUCAAUAACUCUCGUAUAACCGAGGGAAAAAGAAAUGAAGAGAAGUUGGCGAAAGUAUCAAGUGGUACAUCUACUUUUUAUAACAUCACAUGAAGCCGGCGAAAAGGAAAGCCGAUCAACGAAGAAACUGCAUAGGGGACCUAUCAUGAGUGAACAUUGCGUGGGCGCCAUUGGCCGCAUCUCAUCAUCUUGUUGUGUAGAAGAAGAAAUGACUGCCGAUGCUGCUGGUGCCUCCAUCUCUAUGACCUUGCCGUCCAAGCCCGCAUUAGCAACAAACACGUAGCACUAGAGCACGGGAGGAGAGUUGAUCAGGGAAAUCGCCUUUCUUGACGACAGGAGAAUUAGUGAUGGGCGACUCCACGCGACGCUGAUGUGAUUUCAGGCCACACUAAAGGAUGUCGGAGAAGGGGGCCAUAGGACGAACUCAACCGCAUCGGUAGUGGGCUUGGUGGAUAUUGUGUCGAGGGCUCGGGGACGCACUCGGUGAUGGUGGUGGACCUCGGGGAGGGGGGCCUCAUACACGUGGAUGCAGGGGAAAAGAGGGUGCACGGGCUUGAAGGCAUUACUCAUCCACCUCUUCUGGCAAAGAGAGCUCAUCGGGGCCAACCGCGUGAAGGAGGAGCUUGAGGUAGCUUGGAGGAGGCGACGACGACAACCAGAUCCAUCUGGCAAGCCAGAGUGGAGGCAUCCCACGUGGGAGCAGUGAUUUCGGUGCCUAAGCUUAGAUGCACCUGCUAUUAUGUUUGUUCAUUGCUGCAUGGAGAUUCAGGAAAUGGGGCAUGAGGUGGCAUUGCUAGGGCGUGGAAAAUCCCCAAAAUGAACUAUACAUGCAUGAAUAGUGUGAUACAUGUGGGUCUAUCGUGUAGCACACGAGGAGGGUUCGAACGAAGGACAGACGGUGCCAUCUUGGUUGGAUUCUGAUCCAUGGCACCUAAUCGUCUGCAUUCAUCUAAGUCGUGGCUCACUCUGCUGCCUGUGGCAUGACUUUGACACUUUGAAUCCGAGUCAUGGCCUAAAGAUUUGUGUAGCUCCAGUUGGGGCCUGCGGUGUAGGAUCGUCGGUACGCACACCGAAUGUCAUCCACGACCGACGUCGGCCAACAGAUUGCUAGCUUACUAGACGCUACAAGAGGUAGCGUCCUUCGUGAAGUUUGUGUGCUUCAACACCAACCAGGUCAUCCUAAGCCGUCAUGGACAACCCAUUCAUCUACGUGGUUGACUUCAACAUUGGAGACGACUUCUCAUGGUCGUUGCUCAUGUCACACCUUGCUCACCAUGGCAACAAGCUGUUUCAUGUCACGUCACUUGCCACCACAUUAAUGCACCGCGCGGAUACGCAUGCACCUACAAUCGUGCAUGGUGUCCCUCAGAGUUCACGCGCGUCCCUAGGGGCUCCCAUUCCAGUACGACGAGAAGGACCUCCUGGUCUGGGCUGGAAGUCACGUAAUGGUACCUACAACAAUCUCGAAAAGAGUAGAAGGCCUGGAUUUCGAGAGCAUCUGAGCUCGCACUUAGAAAUCUAUUUUUGUUCCCACGGUCCAUACAUAGAGAGAAACUAGAAAAGAAAAUGCAAAACACGCAUACAUGCAUGCAUGCUUCCACAAAUGGGUUACCAGAUACCUUUCUGGGGCUCUGGUGACCUCACAUUCAUUGUUGACCCCUUACGACCUCACAAUCAUGGGAGAGAUUUCAUGACCGCACACUGUCUCUAUAAAAGCCUAUCACCUCUAUGAAUCAUGUGGCUCCAUCAUUUCAAAUCCUCCGCGCGCCUAAGAUACCACUUGAGAAAUUACUAAUGGCCAACGGAAAGAAUGUCAUGGCCAUGUUGUUUCUCACCACCAUUGUGGCGGUGGCGGCCACAAGGCCAGCCGAGACCUAUGGCGCUGCGGAGGAGAACACAUUGAAGAUGGCUACCCCCAGCAAGAAAGGGGUUGACGCUACCUUAGCAGCUACACGUGUUGUUGCCGCCGAGAAGUCCAUCAAGAAGGCUGAAAGCGCCACCACACCAGAAGAGGCCGCGACUGCCAAGCAAGAUGGAGCAAAAUCUGCUUCUGCUGCAUUAAAGUACAAUGCCAUCUCUCAGCAGGCAAAUGGUAAAGGUUCUUCUACCUCCCUAGGCAGGAAAGAAGCAGCCGGUACUUUAGCCGCCGCACACUAUGCCGCCGCCGAGAAGUCCAUCAAGAAGGCCGAAACCGCCAAGACACCUGCAAAGGCCGUGGCUGCCAAGCGAGACGCAGCAAAGUCUGUUGACAAUGCAUUAAAGUAUGAUGCCAUCUCUCGGAAAGCAGCUGGUACAAGUUCUUCUACCUCCCCCAAUAGGAAAGAAGGCACCACUGAUGCUGCUAAGAUGUUCACCAAGAAGGCUGAAACCGCUACCACACCUGAAGAGGCCGCGAAUGCCAAGCAAGCUGCAGCCAAGUCUACCGCUGCUACAUCAAAGUAUGGUGUCAUUUCUCAGCAAGUAGCUGGUACAAGUUCUUCUACCUCCCCUAGCAGGAAAGAAGCUGCCGGUAC
rnacentral:lncRNA from 1 species